rnacentral:lncRNA from 1 species
AACGCUGGUGUCUGUAAGCCACAAAGCACUCACACCUCUUGGCUGGUGAUCCACUGGCCAAAGUUGGAAUUCACUUGCCAACACCAGGGCAUACGCAAGAGGAACUGGCCACUGCUGACCAGUGAACCUGCCACCGAAUCUUGAUGAAAGGUUCCCACUACAUUUGCAGAACAGAUGCUGAGACCAAGGGAUCAUAUUUUACUGUAAUGGAAGCCGUCCGAAUGUAUGCCUCACCCAUCUGUCUUCUCUCAAGAAAAAUAUAAACUUCUCAGGAAAACCGACACUUUCUACAACUCCUGACAUGGUGUGAGGCACACAACUGAUUUCUGUGAGACAAUGUAGAAGUCAGGACUCAGCUCUGCAACCUGACUGGGUCUGAAUCUUCACACCAUUUUUUGGCUCUGUGGCAGCAGGUACUCACUUCUUCCUAUCAAUACAAAGUGUGGAGAGAGCCUUCUCUGUGCAAGCUGCCGAGGGUACAAAGAUGAAGAACACCUGAGAUGAUGUCACCUGGCAAGAUCUUCUUUUCUCGCCUUUUCCCUAUUAUACUUGAGGCUGCAAGGAGUCUCUAAGAAGAUGUUAGUUAGCAGGUGUCAAAAAAUCUUUUUUAAGCAAGUCCUUUAAUCCUUUUGGGUCUGUUUCUUACACUUCAAAGUCAGAAGAUUCGGCUAGUUGAUCUUUAAGGCUCCUUCAAGCUCUAAGAGUGUACGAUUUUAUAAUCAUGGGGAUUUGGUUGUUUGUAAAAACUCUCACUUCCAUUUCAAUAAUUUUUUUCCCUCCCAUUCUGCUUCUCAAGGACUAGGAAAGCCCACAGGGGACUCAUUUUUGGUCACAAAAAAUGAAGCGCCCAAACCCCUCAACCCAGACCCAACCACUGGCUUUGAUGACAAAAGAACAGAGGGAGGAGAGUUCUCUGCAGACCUAGGAAGCUGGCACAUGACUCUCUAUGAGGCAGGUGGGCCUGAGGGCUCUCUGAGGGGCCCAGCUGCAAUCCUCACACAAAUCAAGCUGGCUGUUGGAGGGGACACAGAUCAGAUCAGGAGCAAAGAGAUGCUUUCUGGCUGGGACCUACAGAAGGAACUGCCCAGUCUCCCACUGUUUUACACCAUAGUCCAGCUUCUCCUGGCAGGAAGCAAACCUAUAUAGAGAUUAACAGAGGCUUGAUGGUCAGUUGGAUAGCCACAGACCCUCACUUUAUUCCUGGGUCCAUUAAACAGAAGAAUAAACAGUCAAUCAAAGUUGAGCCAUCUCUAGGCUCCUGAGGUAUUUUAAUGAUCAUUAUAUGAUCUCUGAAGCUUUCAAGCACAGUGCAUUAAAGGGAAAAAAAUCACUUAAAAAGAACAUCUCUAAGAAGCUGUUUCAUCUCAGGCUGGAUGUGAAUGGACCAGGAUGUGGGAUCCCUAGAAACUGACAUUCACAACUGAGAAGACUCAAGCAUGGAGAUGCCUCUACACUCCAACAGUUGCACCAGAGUUCUUGCUAAAGCAACUUAGAAAACUUUUUAGAAAUCUGGGGAACAAAACUCUAAGGGAGAAUGGGGUUCAGUGACUCUUUGCCAGGGCCCAAAGAGGAGGUGGCUCUGAUCCUCACCUGUGCCAUCACCACCCAGAGGAGAAAGGGCCUUUCAAGGGCCUACAGAGAUGGCCUAUGAUUACAAAUUCCCAUGCUCUCUCAUAUUUUUCAUCAGCUCCGCAAUUGUGGGUUGGCAUUUUAUGAAAUAAUUGACCACAUAUAUUGCUAGCAAUAGAAUUAUAGAAGAUUGUCCUGGGAACGCAGGAGAGGAAAAACUGAAUUGGGGCAUAAUCCCAAAUUCCUAUCAUGGCAGCCCUGUACAACAAACAACUCUUGGUGUGUCAAUGUGGGAGUGUGCUUGUCCCCUGACCAAUCUUGGGCAGUCCCCAAGAGGACUCUCAAGAGGGUCUGAUGGCCACAAAAUUACCAUUAAGUUCCCUGAUGGUGGGACCAGCACUGACCAGGAAAAAUACUUUGUCAGAUAAAAACUCACAGCUUGAAGGGAUGAUACAUUUUCCUCUCCCGUCGCCCUGAACUUCACACAGUUUCCUCCGUGAAAGCAAUCAUCUUUGCUGUUCUCUGCUAGUGGGAAGCAAGCCAGGCUCUAGCAUUCUGAAAAAUACUGAAGAAAUGCUUCCCUGUUUAUCAUCUAAGGGAGAGACUGCCUCAAAGAAACUUCGGGAGAGAGAGCUUUUGCUUCUCUUGAAAGGUGGGACAGAGGUUAUAUGGAUACAGGCUUCUGGAGAGAAGGGUGAGGUAUGAAGUCCAAACAGGGAGACUGACCACAGGUAUGUCACUUGCAGCCUCAGCCUGAUCGGGUCCAGAAGGGCUACAUGUGCACUACAGGCUGUAAAGGUGCAGCCUUUGGUUUCACGCAACACAGGGUUUUUUUGUCCGUUAUAUAUUUGGAGGCAAGAGUCCGCAUAGCUUUUGGCAGCCACAAACCCCGCCAUAUGCUAGCAGAGUGAGGGCUGAAUAACAUGCUGCCUAAUCCUUUAGUGUAUCACAGAUGAGUCACAUCCAUUUUUGACACUUGGAGGAUAUAAAUAGAAAGAUUUGAGGAGAAGAAAUAAAGAAUCCACAUCUUGGACUCUUCCAAACUUUUCUCGCUAGUAUGUGCCAUUUUCCCUGGCAGUCUUGGCUGUGAUAAAACUAAGUCAGAAGAAGAGCCUUUGCUCAAACUUUUGAAUAUCUUUGACACAUUCGAUUCAGAGAGCUUGGUGGAAAGAUGGAGAACAAGCAUGCUUUAUUUCUUUUUUUUUAAGAUUUUAUUUAUUUAUUCAUGAGAGACACAGAGAGAGAAGCAGAGAUAUAGGCAGAGGGAGAAGCAGGCUCCCUGCAGGGAGCCCAACAUGGGACUUGAUCCCAGGUCUCCAGGAUCACGCCCUGGGCUGAAGGCUGCGCUAAACCGCUGAGCCACCCGGACUGCCCAAGCAUGCUUUAUUUCUUAGAACCCAGUAGAAUAUCUGAGGCCAGGAGUGGGGAGAAGGGAGAAAACUUAUGGGCAACAGGCAUCAACUUGAAGUCCUAUGGAGCUAACAUUAUUCUGGUGCUGUCAUGACCUCAUUAGUGUGGGGAAGCCAGAAUCACACAGAGGUUCCUGCACCAGGAAUCUGACUUCAGAGAGCAUCAAGGCAAAAGGCCAGAUACUGGUAAUUUUUCUGUUUUGUACUUAGUGGCUUCCUGACAAAAUGAUCCAUUACUUUGUCUUUCUUGCUGUUCUUUGGAGGUGAAACAUAAAGCUUCACCACUUUUUAUAUCAAAAUGAUUAUAAAUAAAUAUAUAUAUACACACACAUACAUAUAUAUGUAUAUACAUAUAUAUGUGUGUAUAUAUAUGUGUUUAUAGAUGUAUAUAUGUGUGUACAUAUAUCUAUGUGUGUAUAUAUAUGUAUAUAUAUGUGUGUGUGUGUAUAUAUAUAUAUAUAUAUACAUAUUUGUAUAUAUACACACCAGAGAAGCCUGGCACAGAGGCACUCCGAAGGAAGCUGCCCCAGAGGAGGAAGAAAUAGCCAGCAAUGCUUAGUUACAAGCCACAGAAAUGAGGUGACCUGGGAUAGUCAAUAUGUCAAAUAUGUCAACAAAUAUUUCCAAAGCAGUCACUAGAAUAGUAUAAUUUAAAAGGCAUAGUUCCUGCCCUGGGGAGCUUAUAAUAUUUGCUGGGGCAGGAGGAGGAAGAGAUAAAUAUUUAACAACUCGAAGACAGUGAAACUUGAGGCGAAUAAGGCCAGAGACUCUCUAAGAGUUUGCCAGAGUGAAAUCACAGACAGAAAAAACUCAAAGGCCAUUUAGUCUAUUAUGCACAAGUCUUAAGAUUAGUCUUCUUUCUGGAUGUCUAAUUAAUUAGCACUAUACUUGGCAAUUACUAAAAUAAUUAUUUCUUGAGGCAUAGAAACCCUUGAUAGGACUUAGACAAAAGAAGGAUAGGAAUGUGUGAGUGUGUUUGUGUGUGUGUGUGUGUGUGUGUGUGAGAGAGAGAGAGAGAGAGAAAGCAAGAGAGAAUAAGGGAGAGAAGAGAAAGGAAAGGAGAGAAGAGGAGGAAGAAGGAGAAAAGGGGAAGAUUAAGGAGGGAAAGAAAGGACAAGAGAAAGUAAAGGAGAGGAGGAAAAAGGGGAGGAAGAUACUGAGAGGAGAGAUGAUCAACUUAGGCCACCCCCACCCCACCUAUCACCAAACCACCAAGCACUUUAUGCCAAUAUCAGAGUUAUUAGUCACUGCCAUCCACAAAUGAUUUUAAGUAAUCCAAAAGUAUGAGAAGCAUUUAAUGUGCUUUACAGAACAAGCUAAAUUAAAAUGAUUCUUGCACCUGGACCCGUGGACUCCUCGGGGGCUGUCUGAUGCAGGAAGUUUUGAGCACACACACAGACAGAGGACAGCAAGCCUACCUCAGGGCAGGGCCUUGAGAACCCUGCCUUUUUAGGUGCUCCAGAGGAGAACAGAGAAUGUUUCUGUGUUCAUCUGAGUGGGUAGAGAUAGGAAGGAUUAAUUAUGUCAUUAAGUAGUAUAUAAUUAUCAGGCACAUUUAAUAUACUGUAUACUUAACAGUAAUUUUCUGAAGCAAUUUUACAUUAUUAUGUUAUUCCCACAACUAAAAUUUUUUCGGUUUGUUUUUUUGUGUUUUUUUGUUUUUGUUUUUGUUUUUGUUUUUGUUUUUUUGUUUUGAAAUUCAAUAGUUCUACAAGGAGCUCCAUGUCCAUUCUUUAAAAAUUUGAUUUAUUUACUUUGAGAGAGAGAGCACGCAGGCACACACAAGCAGGGUGAAGGGCAGAGGGAGAGAGAGAAUCUCAAGCAGAUUCUGUGUUGAGUGCAAGGCCUGACACAGGGCUUAAUCGCACAACCCUGAGAUCAUGACCUGAGUUGAAACUGAGAGUCGGAUGCUCAACCAACUGAGCCACCCAGGCACCCCUCCGUGCACCUUCUUUAGAUUAAUUCCACCACCCAGCAUAGGAGAAGGGGCAGAUUAUAUCAAAGCUCUAAGCAUAUUGGAUUAUAUUUAGGUAUUCAUAUUCUCUUGCUUGCUCUCUCCAAUGUGCUGGUCCAUGGUUUCUUUCUCAAUCUCUCAUCGUAUUGUGACACAGGGAGUAAAAUUGGAUCACAGUCUCUAGAUGAAGAUCACAGAAUAGGGCUAUUUCAGUUCAACUCCCUUCCUUAAAUAAAAUUUUAAAAGAAUGGAACACAGAAAUAUUAACUCUGCCAUUGUUAAUGAAACUAGAAGACAGAAGACAGCCACAACUCCAAACCUCAGGCUCUGAGGAAUGGAUGCCAUGAGAGUGAAACUGGGAAGAGAGAAACUGCCUGAGAAGAGAUAUAAGGAUGGAUAUGGGCCUCUACAGAUCCCUGACGGGACAUAGAGGUCUCCAAAACGAAGGCGUCUGGAGUGGCCCAGUGGGCUCUUCACUGAAGUGUCAGGAGCUAGGAACACAGGCAGGGCCAGAGGUCCCCCUGAGUCUUGUUCCAGGCUGUGGAGCAGAAGGCAAGGCCAGACUGGUACUGAGUAUACAAAUAUAUUUGCAGGAGGCAUAGUGGGGAGGAAGCUGGGUGGCAGAGGGAACAUGACCAGACACUGCCUUUGCAGCAGCGAAUCUAAACCUGGUAAACAUGGUUCCAAACCAAAGAUAAUUUUGCCCUCCAGGGGACACUUAAAAAUGUCUUUUUAACUUUUUUAGUUGUCACAACUGGGGCGUCAGGGGUGUGUUAUGGCCUCUAAUGGGCAGAAUUAAAAGAUGCAAUUAAACAUCUAAAAUGCACAGGACCUCCCUCACAACAGAGGAUUAUCCAAUCCAAAAUGUUAAUAGUAGCAGAGCUGAGAAGCCCUGUGCUAAAUCAUCAGAUUAGAGGCUGCCCUGGAGCCAUAUGCACCUCCUGCUUGCCUGCAAAGGGAGAAUUUGGGUCCUCGAGCAGAGAUUUGCCCCUAGGGAUGUUUUCAGGACUCAGUGAAUUUGAUGGGGAAGUCUUUUGCAACAACAUAUUUAAACUGAAGCUGUUGCUACCCUACCUCACACCCAACCACCAUAAUUAAUAGUUCUUCAGUAAAUGACUGGCUUAGGUAGAAAAGCUUCCAUUCAAAAGUAAGUAAUAAUCAAAAGGAAAUCGACAUGCAAAAAAGUUGAGAGCUUUGGUGUAGAGCAUGAGGUUUAGGAUUUGAAAGACCUGGGUUCAAAUACUUAAAAAGUCUUCCUAGCAGCCUGGUGAAAAAAUAACUAGCUUUUAUCUAAGGUUGAGUCUAAUGAGAGGCAAUCCUCAUGGGUCGGCCAAGAGAAACAAGUUUCCAGGAAGGAUAGCCAUUUGAAGACCUCCUGUUUGUGGUGAGGUUGGCUGAAUCUGCAGUUUGUCAGGUUGAGUAUCUUCCUCCAGCCCAGGAAUCUGCAGGGACUGUCUCCCCAGCUCUGAAGAUAGCAAGGCAGGGCGGAACACUGAAGCUGCCUUUAUUGCUGUGUUUUUCUGCUCUGGAAUGCUUGAGAUCAACUCUGUGGUUCAAAAGCGUCCCUUUUAAAUGGCCCCAAAAGAACUUUCCAGUAAAUCUGAGUCAUCAAAAUGCAGUCCAAAUAUGUGUGGAGGCCUGCCUGAUACCCAGCUCAACAGGCCAUAAGAGCCAAUUCAGGUGACUCCAGUCAUAAACUCACUGAAGGAAAAAAAAAAAAAAAAAAAAAA